GAUGAACGCUGGCGGCGUGCCUAAUACAUGCAAGUAGAACGCUGAAGCUUGGUGCUUGCACCGAGUGGAAGAGUUGCGAACGGGUGAGUAACGCGUAGGUAACCUGCCUCUUAGCGGGGGAUAACUAUUGGAAACGAUAGCUAAUACCGCAUAAAAGUCGAUAUCGCAUGAUAUUGAUUUGAAAGGUGCAAAUGCAUCACUAAAAGAUGGACCUGCGUUGUAUUAGCUAGUUGGUGAGGUAACGGCUCACCAAGGCGACGAUACAUAGCCGACCUGAGAGGGUGAUCGGCCACACUGGGACUGAGACACGGCCCAGACUCCUACGGGAGGCAGCGGUAGGGAAUCUUCGGCAAUGGACGGAAGUCUGACCGAGCAACGCCCCGUGAGUGAAGAAGGUUUUCGGAUCGUAAAGCUCUGUUGUAAGAGAAGAACGAGUGUGAGAGUGGAAAGUUCACACUGUGACGGUACUA
rnacentral:rRNA from 1 species